UGAAUACGAGAUGCUACGGCGUCGAAGCAGUGUAUGUCAGACUUCCAAGAAAAGCUCGCAAUGUCAUAAAUAAAGAAUGCCUGUACCAUAACCGACACAGGUGGGUAGGUAGAGUAUACUAAGGGGCGCGAGAUAACUCUCUCUAAGGAACUCGGCAAAAUAACUCCGUAACUUCGGGAGAAGGAGUGCCUUCUUUAAGAAGGUUGCAAUAACAAGAUCCAAGCAACUGUUUAUCAAAAACACAGGUCUCCGCUAAGUCGUAAGACGAUGUAUGGGGGCUGACGCCUGCCCAGUGCCAGAAGGUUAAAGAAGUUGGUUAGCUUUUGCGAAGCUGAUGACUGAAGCCCUGGUGAACGGCGGCCGUAACGAUAACGUCCUAAGGUAGCGAAAUUCCUUGUCGGGUAAGUUCCGACCCGCACGAAAGGCGUAAUGAUUUGGAUACUGUCUCGGAGAGGGACUCGGUGAAAUAGACUUGUCUGUGAAGAUGCGGACUACCUGCACCAGGACAGAAAGACCCUAUGAAGCUUUACUGUAACUUGAAAUUGAAAUUGGACUUUAUUUGCGCAGUAUAGGUGGAAGGCGUUGAAAGUAAUCUUGCGGGAUUAGUGGAGCCAUCAGUGAGAUACCACUCCUAUAAUGUUAGAUUUCUAACUUUGGAUCAUGAUCUGGUCAAAGAACAGUUUCAGGCGGGCAGUUUGACUGGGGCGGUCGCCUCCCAAAUGGUAACGGAGGCGUACAAAGGUUUCCUCUGAACGGGUAGAAAUCGUAUCUAGAGUGUAAAGGCAUAAGGAAGCUUGACUGUGAGACCUACAAGUCGAGCAGGGACGAAAGUCGGUCUUAGUGAUCUGACGGUGCUGAGUGGAAAGGCCGUCACUCAACGGAUAAAAGUUACUCUAGGAUAACAGGCUGAUCUCCCCCAAGAGUUCACAUCGACGGGGAGGUUUGGCACCUCGAUGUCGGCUCAUCGCAUCCUGGGGCGGUAGUACGUCCCAAGGGUUGGGCUGUUCGCCCAUGAAAGCGGUACGCGAGCUGGGUUCAGAACGUCGUGAGACAGUUCGGUCCAUAUCCGGUGUAGGCGUUAGAAUAUUGAGAGGAGCCUUCUUUAGUACGAGAGGACCGAGAAGGACAUACCUCUGGUGUACCAGUUAUCGUGCCAACGGUAAACGCUGGGUAGCUAUGUAUGGAGAGGAUAACCGCUGAAAGCAUCUAAGUGGGAAGCCCACCUCAAGAUGAG
rnacentral:rRNA from 1 species